UACGAAGGGGGCUAGCGUUGUUCGGAAUUACUGGGCGUAAAGCGCGCGCAGGCGGCUAUCCAAGUCAGUGGUGAAAGCCCGGAGCUCAACUCCGGAACUGCCAUUGAAACUGUUUAGCUGGAGUAUGAGAGAGGUGAGUGGAAUUCCCAGUGUAGAGGUGAAAUUCGUAGAUAUCAGGAGGAACACCUGUGGCGAAAGCGGCUCACUGGACCAUAACUGACGCUGAUGCACGAAAGCUAGGGGAGCAAACAGG
rnacentral:rRNA from 1 species